AACAAAACAUUGACGGAGACAGUGAGAACGGGUAACGCGCAGAGAGCCGAUGGAAGGUGCGAAUCGGACGUUAUGUUUUGCACGGAGCACUCCAGAGUUGUUGCGUUGAAUGGCGGAUCUGCUGCAUUGCGGAGUCAACUGCCGGUAGGCGCAGCCGGGUAGAAACCGUUACAUUUCCGGGUCUUCGGGACCCAUAAGGCUGCUGGUGCGAGCUUGCAGCGAAUUAGGGUGGCACCACGAGAUUAACUCUUCGUCCCUUGC
rnacentral:ncRNA from 1 species